UACGAAGGGGGCUAGCGUUGUUCGGAAUUACUGGGCGUAAAGGGCGCGCAGGCGGCUUGGCAAGUCGAGUGUGAAAUACCUCAGCUUAACUGAGGAAUGGCGCUCGAAACUACCUCGCUUGAGGGCGGGAGAGGGAAGUGGAACUCUCGGUGUAGGGGUGAAAUCUGUAGAUAUCGAGAGGAACACCGGUGGCGAAGGCGGCUUCCUGGCCCGUACCUGACGCUGAGGCGCGAAAGCGUGGGGAGCAAACAGG
rnacentral:rRNA from 1 species